UACGUAGGCAGCGAGCGUUGUUCGGAGUUACUGGGCGUAAAGCGUGCGUAGGCGGUGUCUUAAGUUUGUUGUGAAAUCUCCCGGCUUAACCGGGAGGGUGCGGCGAAUACUGAGAUGCUGGAGUGCCGGAGAGGUAAGCGGAAUUCCUGGUGUAGCGGUGAAAUGCGUAGAUACCAGGAGGAACACCGGUGGUGUAAACGGCUUUCUGGACCAUAACUGACGCUGAUGCACGAAAGCGUGGGUAGCAAACAGG
rnacentral:rRNA from 1 species